rnacentral:rRNA from 1 species
UACGGAGGGUGCAAGCGUUAAUCGGAAUUACUGGGCGUAAAGCGCCCGCAGGUGGCUGAGUCAGUCGAUUGUGAAAGCCCUGGGCUUAACCUGGGAAUUGCAGUCGAUACUACUCGGCUCGAGUAUGGGAGAGGGCAGUGGAAUUCCCGGUGUAGCGGUGAAAUGCGUAGAUAUCGGGAGGAACAUCAGUGGCGAAGGCGGCUGCCUGGCCCAAUACUGACACUCAGGUGCGACAGCGUGGGGAGCAAACAGG